UACAGAGGGUGCGAGCGUUGUUCGGAAUUAUUGGGCGUAAAGGGCGCGUAGGCGGUGCGGUAAGUCACCUGUGAAAUCUCCUGGCUCAACUGGGAGCUUGCAGGCGAAACUGCCGUGCUGGAGUGUGGGAGAGGUGCGUGGAAUUCCCGGUGUAGCGGUGAAAUGCGUAGAUAUCUGGAGGAAUACCGGUGGCGAAGGCGGCGUCCUGGACCAUUACUGACGCUGAGGCGCGAAAGCUAGGGGAGCAAACGGG
rnacentral:rRNA from 1 species